AACUAAACCAAAGUGAUAGAAGAUCGCAUCCGAUUGGUCAGUUUAAAACUUUACAACGGCCCAAACGGAAUCAACCAAUCCUCAAGCCGGAAAUUCACCAGCAGCCUGGUAUUGACGACGCUUGCAGCGGAGUUACACAAUGUAUUCUUGCUAGCGCAGAACAAUGGGCGUUCAACACUUUUACGCUGGAUGUGGUCACAGGAGGACGCCCUCUGUCGAUAUUAUUGGUUCACUUAUUCCAGGAGUAUGGACUCAUCAAGGACUUCCAUCUGGAUGUACUGAAAGUGUAUAAAUGCUUCAGCCUCGUUGAACUGGGUUAUCACACGGAUAAUCCAUACCAUAAUGCUGUUCAUGCAGCUGACGUAACCCAGGCGAUGCAUUGCUUCAUCCAGGAGGAGAUGGUA